rnacentral:rRNA from 1 species
CCUACGGGGGGCAGCAGUGAGGAAUAUUGGUCAAUGGACGAGAGUCUGAACCAGCCAAGUAGCGUGAAGGAUGAAGGCCCUAUGGGUGGUAAACUUCUUUUAUAUGGGAAUAAAAUGUUCCACGUGUGGGAUUUUGUAUGUACAAUAUGAAUAAGGAACGGCUAACUCCGUGACAGCAGCCGCGGUAAUACGGAGGAUCCGAGCGUUAUCCGGAUUUAUAGGGUUUAAAGGGAGCGUAGGUGGAUUGUUAAGUCAGUUGUGAAAGUUUGCGGCUCAACCGUCAAAUUGCAGUUGAAACUGGCAGUCUUGAGUACAGUAGAGGUCGGCGGAAUUCGUGGUGUAGCGGUGAAAUGCUUAGAUAUCACGAAGAACUCCGAUUGCGAAGGCAGCUCACUGGACUGCAACUGACGCUGAGGCUCGAAAGUGUGGGGAUCAAACAGGAUUAGAUACCCCAGUAGUC